CAGCCUCUGGCAAUCAAAGCCGACCACAGCCUCUGCUCUAACAUAUACCUGCAGUCUACCAAGUACCAGAACUAUGAGGAAAGACAGAGCAAUUAAAAACCAGCAAACAAAAAAACUCUGUAUAGAGAAAUGGCCCUUCUGUGUCUCAUUGAUAAGACACUGGCUACCUUAGUUUUUAGUUGGAGUCACUGCUGACUGUAGAAUGAAAUUCACUGUGUUCAUCUUGACUAAUAUCUUAGCCUUGAAUGCUCCUCACACCUUCUAAACUUUAAAAAAAAAUUCAUUAACUGAUUAACUGAAGAUUUUAGAAGAACCUCCAGAGCAAAUACAGGAAGAUCGGGGCACUACCUGGAGAAAGAUUCUGCAUCAGGGAGGCUUGGAAGGAAGAUAUUCAUCCUGCUCUUCUCCAUGAACUGACUGUUCAACUACUAACUCGCCACUGACUCUCCUAAAAUUAAAUAAAACCUUGUAGACUGGCAA